rnacentral:sRNA from 1 species
GCCGGGAGCGGUGGUGCACACCUGUAAUUCCAGAGACUAGGCAGGCUGAGGCAGAAGGAUUCCAAGUUCAAAGCCAGCCUCAGCAACUUAGUGAGGCUCUGAGCAACUUAGAGACUUAGUCUCAA